GACGAACGCUGGCGGCGUGCCUAAUACAUGCAAGUAGAACGCACAGUUUAUACCGUAGCUUGCUACACCAUAGACUGUGAGUUGCGAACGGGUGAGUAACGCGUAGGUAACCUGCCUGGUAGCGGGGGAUAACUAUUGGAAACGAUAGCUAAUACCGCAUAAUAUUGAUUAUUGCAUGAUAAUUGAUUGAAAGAUGCUAUUGCAUCACUACCAGAUGGACCUGCGUUGUAUUAGCUAGUAGGUGAGGUAACGGCUCACCUAUGCGACGAUACAUAGCCGACCUGGGAGGGUGAUCGGCCACACUGGGACUGAGACACGGCCCAGACUCCUACGGGAGGCAGCAGUAGGGAAUCUUCGGCAAUGGACGAAAGUCUGACCGAGCAACGCCGCGUGAGUGAAGAAGGUUUUCGGAUCGUAAAGCUCUGUUGUAAGAGAAGAACGGGUGUGAGAGUGGAAAGUUCACACUGUGACGGUAUCUUACCAGAAAGGGACGGCUAACUACGUG
rnacentral:rRNA from 1 species